GACUUCGGCAACGGAAUCUCGGCUCACGCAUCGAUGAAGAACGUAGCAAAAUGCGAUACUUGGUGUGAAUUGCAGAAUCCCGUGAAUCCAUCGAGUUUUUGAAACGCAAGUUGCGCCGAACCAUUCGGUUGAGGGCACGUCUGCCUGGGCGUCA
rnacentral:rRNA from 11 species